AACGCUAGCUACAGGCUUAACACAUGCAAGUCGAGGGGCAGCAUAAAAGUAGCAAUACUUUGGUGGCGACCGGCGCACGGGUGAGUAACGCGUAUGCAACCUACCUAUCAGAGGGGGAUAACCCGGCGAAAGUCGGACUAAUACCGCAUAAAACAGGGGCACCGCAUGGUGCUAUUUGUUAAAAGUUUAUUGCUGAUAGAUGGGCAUGCGUUCCAUUAGGUAGUUGGAGAGGUAACGGCUCACCAAGCCAACGAUGGAUAGGGGAACUGAGAGGUUGGUCCCCCACACUGGUACUGAGACACGGACCAGACUCCUACGGGAGGCAGCAGUGAGGAAUAUUGGUCAAUGGGCGAGAGCCUGAACCAGCCAAGUCGCGUGAAGGAAGAAGGAUCUAUGGUUCGUAAACUUCUUUUGCAGGGGAAUAAAGUGCAGGACGUGUCCUGUUUUGUAUGUACCCUGAGAAUAAGGAUCGGCUAACUCCGUGCCAGCAGCCGCGGUAAUACGGAGGAUCCGAGCGUUAUCCGGAUUUAUUGGGUUUAAAGGGUGCGUAGGUGGUUUAAUAAGUCAGCGGUGAAAGUUUGCAGCUUAACUGUAAAAAUGCCGUUGAAACUGUUAGACUUGAGUGUAAAUGAGGUAGGCGGAAUGCGUGGUGUAGCGGUGAAAUGCUUAGAUAUCACGAAGAACUCCGAUUG
rnacentral:rRNA from 1 species